rnacentral:misc_RNA from 1 species
GAACCUGUUUUCAAGGGAACCUUUUGAACGAUUCUCUGUACUUUAUGUUUUGCUCCUGCUUGAUCUUUAGCAUCUACAACACGAACAACCUGCUCCACAAAAUUACCAAGUAUAGAUUGAGCACUCAAAAACCUCUGUAUAAAAGUAUUUAUAGUCUCCGACUGAAAUGUACUCGUCAUUCCACCAAAAAAGAAAGAUCUCAAAAAGGGCAGUGCCCAGUAUGAACGUAAAGCAUAUAAACUGG